rnacentral:rRNA from 1 species
CCUACGGGGGGCAGCAGUGGGGAAUAUUGCACAAUGGUCGAAACCCUGAUGCAGCGACGCCGCGUGAGUGAAGAAGUAAUUCGUUAUGUAAAGCUCUAUCAGCAGGGAAGAAAAUGACGGUACCUGAGUAAGAAGCACUGGUGAACAACGGGCCAGCAGCCGCGGUAAUACGGGGGGGGCAAGCGUUAUCCGGAUUUACUGGGUGUAAAGGGAGCGUAGACGGCAGUGCAAGUCUGGAGUGAAAGGCGGGGGCUCAACCCUCGGACUGCUCGGGAAACUGUACGGCUGGAGUGCAGGAGAGGUAAGUGGAAUUCCUGGUGUAGCGGUGAAAUGCGUAGAUAUCAGGAGGAACACCAGUAGCGAAGGCGGCUAACUGGACUGUAACUGACGUUGAGGCUCGAAAGCGUGGGUAGCAAACAGGAUUAGAUACCCGUGUAGUC